AUGAAUUUGUGUAAGUCCCGAUGGAUAUAUUGUCAAUGUAUAGAAGAAUGGAAAUAGAUACUCAGGUGGUGUGCAAGACUAUUCAACUAGUGUCAGUCUUGGGUACGUUUGACCAAAUCAUUAAAGAAGCUUUAAGUUCCUCCAAAGAAUUCAGCUUCAAAUUU